CACUGGCCCAUGUGGGAAUCGAACCGGCAGCCUUCGGAGUUAGGAGCACGGAGCUCUAACCGCCUGAGCCACCGGGCCGGCCCAACCACAUCUCUUAAUGGCAGCAUCAGUGUCAUGCUCUGGAGCCGGCAUGCCUCAGCAUGCAUCCCAAAGGUCUCUCCCUUACUAGCUGUGUGACCUGGGACAAGUGUGCCUACCUGCCCGAGUUUCCUCUCUGUAUAAUGGUCCUUAUAUGACAGAAUUCUUUCAAGGAUUAAGCAAGGGUAUAUCUAUAGCAUUUGGGACAGUGUGUGGCACAGACUAAGUGCCUAAUAAACAUUUGCUGUUAUUCUUAUUUCUUAUUAUCAUUAUUAAUAUCCAUUUCAUCUCUGUUAUUCCAGGGAACCGAAGAUCUAUAUUUACCUGUUCUAAGUAAUGAAUAUUUUAUUUACAUAUUUUUUUCCAUUAUAACUCAUCCUGCAAAGAACAUCAUUUUAUGUCGACUUAACUUUCCUAAUUAUUUAAAAUAAUUGUAAAUAAAAUUUAAAAUAAAAUAAGCAUGCUUAAAAUUAGGAUCAUACAAUAGCAGAUUUUUGUCCCAAUUUUUUUCCUAUUUCCCAAAUCUUUCAAAAGAAUACAAGCACCCUGAUUCUCCACAUGACGGCCAAGAGCAGGUUAUAAAAUUUCCCAUGGUUUUGGUAAUUGGAAGAAUUUUUGUUUUCUUUUUCUCACCUAUUUGAUUAUAAAUGAAUAUCUUCACCUUUUCAAAUGUUUAUUAACCAUCUCUAUUUCUUCUUUUAAACAUGCCUGUUCAUGUCCUUCAUUCAUAUUCCAUUGGGUUUUUUCUUUAUUCUAUGCAUAAGAUUCCUAUUAUGUCUUCCUUGGCAUUUAUAUAGUACGUAUUCUUGGCCUAUGUUGUUAUUUUUUCUGGUAAUACUAUGUAAGGUGUCUUUAGCCACAGAAAAGUUUAAAGAUUUUAUACAAAGACAGUGCUAAGUUAUGUCUUUAUGUGUCGGGAGCGCUGAGCAUUUCUGUGUUACCAUUCCUGGCCUUUGGUUUCCUGUGGGAAUC
rnacentral:lncRNA from 1 species